UGCCUACGGGGGGCAGCAGUGAGGAAUAUUGGUCAAUGGGCGGAAGCCUGAACCAGCCAAGUCGCGUGAGGGAUUAAGGCCCUGCGGGUCGUAAACCUCUUUUGCCGGGGAGCAGUGGUCCGGACGCGUCCGGACCGGGAGAGUACCCGGAGAAAAAGCAUCGGCUAACUCCGUGCCAGCAGCCGCGGUAAUACGGAGGAUGCCAGCGUUAUCCGGAUUUAUUGGGUUUAAAGGGUGCGUAGGCGGUUUGAUAAGUUAGAGGUGAAAUGUCGGGGCUCAACCCCGAAACUGCCUCUAAUACUGUU
rnacentral:rRNA from 1 species